rnacentral:lncRNA from 1 species
ACUGGGUUAAAUAUUCAUUUGAAGUUAAAAUGUACAUGAAUAUAAUCUAAAUACAGCAGGGCUUAUAUUUUAACUAGUACCCAAAUUAUUCACACUUUUCAGAACUAAAUUUAGGCUUCCAUUUUUGGGUUGAAACUGAUAAAGCACAAAGCCCUACCACAACCCAAACACUGAAAAGGAAAAUAAAUUUUAAAAGCCCUCACAGCACAAAUUGAAAACAAGCUAAGAUCCUCAUGUAGACUGGAGAGAAAUGGCUCUCUUGCUCUGGUUUGCAUUUUAGUUCUCAUUUUUCAUGUUUUUUGCAAGCAGGUAGGAGCAAAGAUCACAAGUCCAGAUGUCUUGCUGCUUUCAAAUCUUCUUGAGUUUGAAUUAGAGGGAUGAGAAAAAGAGCAGACAAAAACAUGGAUAAAUACAAGAUAAAUUUUGAAAGAAAACUUUUAAAAACCAAUCAUGGUUGCUAAGUAACAAAAGCAUACUUAACCUUUGCUAAUGAUUAACAAACCACAAAAUUUGCACAAGCCAGGAAACAAGUAGCAAAGGCAUUUCUUUUUGGGAGUUUUACAGGUUUUUUUGCAGUUUUUGCUCUUCUAAAAUUUGCAAGGAGAUAAGAGGGAGGAAAUUAGAAAAUUACUGAGCUAAAGAAGGCUUUGUUCCCCUGUGAAAAACUAGCAAGAGAGGUUUGUGUUCAGAAGAUUUUUCCCUGAAUAAUACUCACCCUGAAAUGAGAUCUGAGCCUGAAUGUACCAAGCUACCUUUUGGGUUGGUGCCUGGUUUCCCAAGAUUUAUGUCACCUACUCAUCACUGCAAAGGCAUGGGGCAUGACCUUCACUUUGACUGUUCAGAGUCAAUUACGAGGGACAAGACACAUUCCAUUUCAGAAAAUCACUGUGGCAAGAAAGAAGCAAUGAUGCAGCCCACAAAGGUAUUGUAGUGGAUUUUACAUUAUUUGAUAUCAUUGCAUUAGAAUUGUCAUUCA